rnacentral:rRNA from 1 species
ACGGAAGGCAGCAGCUAAGAAUAUUCCGCAAUGGACGAAAGUCUGACGGAGCGACGCCGCGUGGAUGAUGAAGGUCGGAAGAUUGUAAAAUCCUUUUAUAACUGAGGAAUAAGUAUGGUGAGAGAAACGCCAUAUGGUGACUGUAGGUUAUGAAUAAGCAACGGCUAAUUACGUGCCAGCAGCCGCGGUAAUACGGAAGGUCCGGGCGUUAUCCGGAUUUAUUGGGUUUAAAGGGAGCGUAGGCCGUGCUUUAAGCGUGUUGUGAAAUGUAGGCGCCCAACGUCUGCACUGCAGCGCGAACUGGAGCACUUGAGUACGCAGGAAGUAGGCGGAAUUCGUCGUGUAGCGGUGAAAUGCUUAGAUAUGACGAAGAACUCCGAUUGGGAAGCCAGCUUACUGUAGCGCCACUGACGCUGAUGCUCGAAAGCGUGGGUAUCGAACAGGAUUAGAUACCCUGGUA